GCGCCCAGGUGAGCGGAGUUCUCAGGCUCCCGGGCCGAGGUCCCGCGGGAAGCAGCUCGCGCAGCCCCCACGCACUCUUAAUUACCCAGAGCCCCCCUCGGCCGCGCAAAUCCAGGACGCCAGCUCCUGUCCGCUCCAGACACUGCGAGCGCUGACGGCGCCAACAGAAACUCAGAGGCCCUUUUAAUCUGGUUAAAGAGAAGCUCAGCAGAAAGUGAAACAGUUCCCACCCCUGGAGGGAGAAGGCUCCAGGCCAGAUCCCAGGAGAGCCAACGGGAUGAAUGAGAACAGCCCUGCUCACCAUAUCCACAGCCUGCCCUCCCUCUCCUUUCCUGUUCUCCAGUGUAUCUGAAUCACAACAAAUGCUGUGCUAGGAAGACUGAUGUCAAGCUGACCACACCGGCCAACUAACUACCACUGCUCUGUCAGUGCCAAACUCCCGUGAUUCCUUUAUUUGGAACCGAUCCUCAAGUGUUCUCAGUACAACCAACAUCACAGGGUCCAGAGAUAAGAAAGCAAGUUACAGAGACAAACGAAAACAAAAAACCAGAUGGGACCAGCUAGGACCAAAAUGGUGACAAAUCUGCCCUCCAACAGCCCCUGAGCCUCAUCACACACUGUACUACAUGAGCAAAUUAAGUGAUACCAAUGACUGACGACUGGAAAUUUUACGACUACGAGUGACCUAAAUGACAUUCCUACGGCGAAGAGCCCUGCCCCCUCCCACACGGCAGGCAAACGCACAUGCGUCCCAUCAUCAGCCUCCCUCCUCCCCGCCUUGUCUUCACUCUUUAGAGUCAAAUCCCUCUCCCCACGUGGGUGAGAAGUUGAUCUGUGAACUUAGUUCAGCUGAGCCAUCUGUGGCCAGUAAAUAAAGCUCGCACUGCAUCAAUCUCAGCUUCAGUUUCGUUAUUUGCUACUCGAACCCGAACGGAAAAAGAAUCUUUCCCCACUAAGGCAGAGAGCCUCGGCCAGGCCAGGACCCGAGCAGCGUCCUUACGACUUAAUUCGGUAACAAGAGAAGUUUCUGCCCAGAUCACACUGCUGGUUGGUGACAACUGAGGGAGGGAGGGAGUGAGCCAAGAUUACCUGGCACUGAAUUCAGGUUUUUCCUAUAACCCCGUUCUGUGC